UUGAAAGGGAAACGAUUGAAGUCAGUCGUACCUGUGGGUAAUCAGCCUUUUGGGUGUGAUUUUGUGGAGUGUGAGGAGUUAAACGCCUUCAUGCCUGCAUAUUCGUGCACUUUGGGUGUAUUUACCCGUGUGGUAAGUUAACAUCAAUUUCGGUGGUCAUAAAAUGGCUGGAGGAAUGUAGCUUUGAUCUCGUAUUGAAGUGUUAUAGCCUUCGGUAGAUGUGAUAAUCGGGAUUGAGGAUUGCAACGGGUUCCUUCGGGGCUACCUGUCUGAUCUCUGAUCGUUGCUCUGGUGCCGAAAGCUUGCUUACGGUUAUCAAAGUCGAUGGUCAAUAGGUUAGAAUGGGUUAAAUUCGUUAAGGAUGUUGACGUA
rnacentral:rRNA from 1 species